UGAUAUUAUGCCAUGACAUUGUGUCAAUAUGCGAUGAUGUGUGUGAUGGCACAGCGUCAUCACGUGGUGACGCAACAUCAUGACGUAAGACGUCACAACGGCCAAUUAA
rnacentral:ncRNA from 2 species